rnacentral:rRNA from 1 species
GAUGAACGCUCGCGGGAGGCCUAACACAUGCAAGCCGAGCGGGAUUUGUUGGUUAGCUUGCUAACUAACAAUGAGAGCGGCGUACGGGUGCGUAGCACGUGUGCAACCUGCCUUUAUCUGGGGGAUAGCCUUUCGAAAGGAAGAUUAAUACCCCAUAACAUAUUGAUUGGCAUCAGUUAAUAUUGAAAGCUCCGGCGGAUAGAGAUGGGCACGCGUAAGAUUAGCUAGUUGGUGAGGUAACGGCUCACCAAGGCUGCGAUCUUUAGGGGGCCUGAGAGGGGGAUCCCCCACACUGGUACUGAGACACGGACCAGACUCCUACGGGAGGCAGCAGUGAGGAAUAUUGGACAAUGGGUGAGAGCCUGAUCCAGCCAUCCCGCGUGAAGGACUAAGGACCUAUGGUUGGUAAACUUCUUUUAUACAGGGAUAAACCUACUCUCGUGAGGGUAGCUGAAGGUACUGUAUGAAUAAGCACCGGCUAACUCCGUG